GGAAGCUGCGGUGAAGGGCGGGACUUCCGGUCGUGUCCUUACCGUGGGGUUUCGGUGACCGUAAGACUAAGGACUUUUGCUUAUCCUGACUCCAACUGAUUCUGAGGCCUCCAGGGAGCUAAUCCGGACUUCACAUUUUGGUGCCCAAUUUGUGAACCACGGACCCUAAUUUCACUGAAGAAGUCUCCAGUGACCAGGAAAUAGGGUGAGUAUUUUAAUAGACAAACAGGGAACUUAAUUUGUUAAGGGCUAAACUAGUAACCUUUUCUAACUGAAAUGGGGCAGAUAUUGGGAAAAAAUUCUCCCCCAUCCUCAGCUCCACUCCUACCCCUGCCCCGAGGGGAUGCUACAGAAAGCAUACUUAAGUUGAUCAAGGAACAAGGCUUAUUUAUACCUUGGGAGCAGAUCUGUAAACUCUUGCAUAUAGUAGAAUGCACAUCUCCUUGGUUCUUAAACGAAGAGGAGAUAGAGCUAGAUAAUUGGAAGAUAGUAGGAGAACAACUACUGGAAUACUAUAAUGAUAAUGGUCCUGAUUCAAUUUCUGACGAAACAUUCUAUAUAUACAACAUAAUACAAUUGGCCUUAAAGAAUUCUACAAGUGAUUAAAAAAAAAGAAAAGUUUUAAAAACAACCAGAUGAGGGAGUGUGAGGAAAAAGAGGAAGAUAAAGGACAGAUUAAUGGCAAUAUCACCAGAGGGCUUGAGGACUUACAUGAACUUGAAGGGCAGGGUGAUUCUCUCUCUCUUUUUUUUUUUUUUUUAAAUAAUUUUUUAUUAAUAGAACUCAUGCCAGGAUAAUUUUUUACAGCAUUAUCCCUUGCAUUCACUUAUGUUCUGAUUUUUCCCCUCCCUCCCUCCACCCCCUCCCCCAGAUGGCAAGCAGUCCUUUACAUGUUGAAUAGGUUACAGUAUAUCCUAGAUACAAUAUAUGUGUGCAGAACCGAACAGUUUUCUUGUUGCACAGGGAGAAUUGAAUUCAGAAGGUAUAAAUAAUCUGGGAAGAAAAACAAAAAUGCAAGCAGUUUAUAUUCAUUUCCCAGUGUUCUUUCUUUGGGUGUAAUUGCUUCUGCCCAUCUUUGAUCAAUUGAAACUCAAUUAGCUCUCUUUAUCGAAGAGAUCCACUUCCAUCAGAAUACAUCCUCAAACAGUAUCAUUGUUGAGGUAUAUAAUGAUCUCCCGGUUCUGCUCAUUUCACUUAACAUCAGUUCAUGUAAGUCUCGCCAGUCCUCUUUGUAUUCAUCCUGCUGGUCAUUCCUUACAGAACAAUAAUAUUCCAUAACGUUCAUUUACCACAAUUUACCCAACCAUUCUCCAAUUGAUGGGCAUCCAUUCAUUUUCCAGCUUCUAGCCACUACAAACAAGGCUGCCACAAACAUUUUGGCACAUACAGGUCCCUUUCCCUUCUUUAGUAUCUCUUUGGGGUAUAAGCCCAGUAGAGACACUGCUGGAUCAAAGGGUAUGCACAGUUUGAUAACUUUUUGAGCAUAGUUCCAAAUUGCUCUCCAGAAUGGCUGGAUGUGUUCACAAUUCCACCAACAAUGUAUCAGUGUCCCUGUUUUCCCACAUCCUCUCCAACAUUCCACAUUAUCUUUCCCUGUCACUCUAGCCAAUCUGACAGGUGUGUAGUGGUAUCUCAGAGUUGUCUUAAUUUGCAUUUCUCUGAUUAAUAAUGAUUUGGAGCAUAUUUUCAUAUAUCUAAGAUAGUUUCAAUUUCUUCAUCUGAGAAUUGUCUGUUCAUAUCCUUUGACCAUUUAUCAAUUGGAGAAUGGUUUGAUUUCUUAUAAAUUAGUCAAUUCUCUAUAUAUUUUGGAAAUGAGGCCUUUAUCAGAACCUUUGAUCGUAAAAAUGUUUUCCCAGUUUAUUGUUUCCCUUCUAAUCUUGUCUGCAUUUGUUUUGUUUGUACAAAAACUUUUCAAUUUGAUAUAAUCAAAAUUUUCUAUUUUGUGGUCAAUAGUGAUCUCUCGUUCUUCUUUGGUCAUAAAUUCCUCUCUCUUCCACAGGUCUGAUAGAUAACCUAUCCUAUGCUCUUCCAAUUUAUUUAUAAUCUCAUUCUUUAUGCCUAGGUCAUGAACCCAUUUUGACUUUAUCUUGGUGUAUGGUGUUAAGUGUGGGUCAAUGCCUAGUUUAGGGCAGGGUGAUUCUCACUCUGACAGCUCAGCUUCAACUCUGCCCACACCAGAGCAGGUCCUUGACCCUCCCCUAUCAACUCCACCUUCCAUGAUGGAGGGAGGAGGAGUAGUGGGAGGGGCAGUGAUAUACCACCAGCACCUCCCCCCCAGCAAUCACCCCCUCCUAUGACUAGAUUGCAAAAGGCACUACUUAAAGCCACAGAAGAAGGGCAAAAUAUAGCUGAUUUGAGAAUAGAACUGUAUCCUCUGAUUCAAGUUUAACUCUUCAGGUCAGGAAAGUAGAAGAUACGUUCCUUUUGAUCUAGAAAUCCUCAAAGACCUGAAAAAGGCUUGCACUCUUUAUGGGGCUACAUCAGCUUAUAUUAAGAUGUUAUUACAGAAUUUGGCUUAUGAAGUCUUAACCCCUAGUGACUGGAAAUCUAUAGCAAGGACAUGCUUAGAACCUGGACAAAACUUGUGGCUUUCUGAAUAUCGUAAGCUCUGUAGGAUACAAGCCCAAUGAAAUAGUCAAAGUGGAGUUAAUACUCCUAUCACCUAUGACCAACUAACAGGUGUAGGUUCUUAUGCAGAUAUUUCAGUACAGAUUAAUUAUCCCAUAGCAGCAUAUGAGCAAAUUGUUGCCGCUGCUAUCAAAGCAUGGAGUUUAUCCCAGGUAAACAGAACAGAGGAGAGCCCUUUACAAAAAUAGCACAAGGGCCAAAUGAAUCCUUUGCUGAUUUUGUGGGACAUUUGCAGACAGCUGUCAUACAAACUAAUGGUGAAAAUGCAGCAACAGAAAUCAUGAUAAGGCAACUUACUAAAAAAAAAAUGCUGAGGUUUGUCAAAGAAUUAUACUAGGAUUACACAAGGAUGCUCCUUUAGAGGAUAUCAUAAGAUGCUAUGCCACAGUGGGAACAAAUACCUUUUAUAGCCAGGCUAUGAUGCAGACUUUCCAACAUCCAAACAUGGGAAGACAGGGUCCCUUUUGGCAAGGGACUUCCAGAGAGAUUCGUCAAUGCUUUAAAUGUGGUGAAAGUAGGACAUCUGAAAGUUCAAAGUUGGCAUAGAGACAGAGUGAGAAAACAGGGUGGGAGAACAAGACCCAAAACCCCAUGUCCAAAAUGCAACAGAGGCUUCCAUUGGGCCUCAGAAUGUAGACAGAUUCAGGGAAAAGGGAGGAGGGGCCCAAGGCAAAAAAUAUUUGGGGCAUGGUGGCAGCUGAUGCUACACCCAGAGAGCCUUUAGAAGUUCAAUACCCAGACAUGACCAAUCAGCCAGGAAGCAAUCUGAUGGGAGAAGGGGAUUACAAAUGGGGAGAAUAGAGUUGUAUGCAGCUGGGACAACUGAGAUACCCCCUGGAGAAGUGAAAUUUGUUCCUCUCCAGCCUAUGGAUUUCUUGCCUCCAGGUACAGUAGGCUUGACCAUUUCACUUCCUGAGAGUACUUACAAAACAGUAUAUGACGUAUACUCUAAAGUACUUACAGUACAAAAACUUUUGUUAAAAACAGAGAAUCUAAACACCUUAAAUGACUUUCAGAAAUUGAGAGGAGAUAUCCAAUGGAUGAGUCCAAUGUUAGGCUUGGCUACCUAUCAGUUGCAACCAUUAUAUGACAUUUUAAGGGAAGACAGUGCUUUAAACUCACCAUGCCAGCUUACAAAGGAAGCUCAAGAGGCUUUGAGAGAAGUUGAACUGGCUUGAAUGUGGUUGAAAGAGUCGCUUUAAAAAAAAAACUGAUAUUUUUUGCUACACAAGAGGCACCCACAGCAGUCCUUCAUUAAGGAGAGUGUGAUAGAGUGAGUGAACCUCCUAGCACAACCAGAACAAAGCCUUACUCCUUAUCCAGUGCUUGUGGCUAGAAUUUUAUUAAAAGGCAUUUAGCGAGCAGUACAAUUAUCUGGGAUAAGACCUGGCAAGAUAUACACCUUUUAUAUUAAUGCACAAAUUAAUGUAUGCUGUGAAACCAUCCCAGAGUGGCAAAUUUUAUUAGCCAAGGCUCUAAAUUUUACACACGAGUCUCCAUUAAAGAUAACCAGAUUAUUACAUAAUUGGAGAUGGAUUCUUGAAGAAAAGGUUUCUAAAGUUCCUCUUAAAAGAUAGCUAUUUUUAUAGAUGCAUCCAAACAUAAUAUUUGUGCUGUAUACUCUCGUUACUUAACUGUAAAGAACAGUGAUUCUCAAAGUAUAGUCUAGAGAAUUCUGGGGAUCUCUGAAACCCUUUUAGAGGGUCUACAAAUUCAAAAAUAGUUUUUAUUUCCAAUAUUGUAAAUGUCUAUAAAUAUAAUCCAGAUAAACAAAAACGCUUUGGAGAGAUCCUCAAUAAUUUUUAUUAGGAUAAAGAUACUGAAAAUAAAAGUUUGAGAACCACUAAUAAAGAGAGUAGUCAGAACUCCUUUUCAAUCCACUCAGCAGAAUGAAUUGUAUGCAGUCAUUCUAGCUCUUACUUAUUAUCUAGGAGAUAUAAAUAUAAUAUCCGAUUUGGCCUAUUCACUAGAUGUGGUACAAAGGAUUGCCAUAGCCCAAAUAAAAUGUGUAGCUUCCAAUAUAUAUCAGCUCUUUAAGGAACUUCAAGAGCAAGUGAGAAAACAUCCAGGUAAGAUUUAUAUCUUGCAUGUCCACUCUCAUAGUGGACUUCCAGGUCCUAUUUUUGAUGGUAAUUCAAAAGCAGAUAGCCUUCUAACCAUGUUGGCCAAUACUCCUUUAUUUCAAGAAGCCCGAGAAUCUCAUUCUAAAUAUCAUCAGGCUACUCGAACUUUAUGUUUACAAUUUGGAAUAACAAGAGAGAAAGCUCCUAGAUAGUAAAAGCCUGUAUGGCUUGCCUUCCUUUUCACACUCAUAUGUUCUCUCCAGGAAGAACCUUCAUGGUUUGAGACCCAAUGAAAUUUGGCAAAUGGAUGUGACCCAUUAUAAAUCUUUUGGUCGUCUGUCUUUUAUCCAUGUUGUAGUAGACAUGUCUUUAGGAUUCACUUUUGCAAUGCCAGCAGCAAAAGAGACAGCCUGAGUGGUCACUGAAUUCCUCAUACAAGCAUUUGCAAUUAUGGGUGUGCCACAAGCAAUAAAAACAGAUAAUGGACCUGCCUAUACUUCUUCUUUUUUUUUUUUUUUUUUCCUGUAUUUCAAAAGACAAAUGCCAUCCUUUUGUAUUUUAUCCCUGAGUUCUGUUCUACCAGCUUUACUUUGCAAGGUUUUUUUUUUUUUUUUUUUUUUUUUAAUAGCUUUUUAUUUACAAGUUAUAUGCAUGGGUAAUUUUAUAGCAUUGACAAUUGCCAAACCUUUUGUUCCAAUUUUUCCCCUCCUUUCCCCCACCCCCUCCCUAGAUGGUAGGAUGACCAGUAGAUGUUAAAUAUAUUAAAGUAUAAAUUAAAUACACAAUAAGUAUACACAACCAAACCAUUAUUUUGCGGUACAAAAAGAAUCGGACUCUGAAAUAUUAUACAGUUAACCUGUGAAGGAAAUCCAAAAUGCAGGCAAGCAAAAAUAUAGGGAUUGGGAAUUCAAUGUAAUGGUUCUUAGUCAUCUCCCAGAGUUUUUUCGCUGGGUGUAGCUGAUUCAGUUCAUUAUUGCUCCUUUGGAACUGAUUUGGUUCAUCUCAUCCUGCAUAUACUUCUAAACAUUUUGCACACUUUUGUGCACAGUAUAAGAUUUUACACACCACUGGCAUACCCUUUAAUUCUCAAGGACAGGCAAUAGUAGAGAAGAGAAACAGAGACAUUAAGAUACUCCUCCAAAAACAAAAGAAAGGGGGAGCUGCAGGAACCCUAGAGAACUUCUAAAUUUAGCCCUUUAUACUAUUUACUUCUUGAUUUUUGACAAAGAUGCACUGGCUCUGGCAGACAGGUUUUCUAACCCACCGGAAGGGCAGUGUCCAGUGUGAGCAGCUUCACUAUCUUUAGAUAAUCACCAAGUGAUGUGGAGAGACCCAGAAAGUGGUGAAUAGAAGGCACCAGAUAGGCUAACUGCUUGGGGGAGAGGGUUUGCUUGUAUUUCUACAGAUGGAGAAGGAAUCAGAUGGGUGCCUAUGAGCCAUAUUCGCCUUGUCCAUCAGAAAGAGACGGAGCAGACCCUUGAAACGAAGGAGAAGACCCAAGAAACUGAAUCAGGUGGUUCUGUUGCUGACUGCCCACCACUGAAAAGAGCAUUUUAAAAAGAGCAGUUAUGGCAUUUGACUCAUGGACAUCAAAAAUUGUUGGACUUCAAAACCCUUAAGAAUCAUUGGAAUCUCUGAGACAUAAAAAGGUUGUUGUAGGACUUCAGAACCCUUAGAAAUCAUUGGAUUCCCUGAGACAUAAGACUGUUAUAGGACUUGAAAGCCCUCAGGAAUCAUUGGAUUUUCUGAGAAAUGAUAAGACUAUUGUUGGACUUGAAAACCCUCAGGAGUCAUUGGAUUCUCUGAAACAUAAGAUUGUUGUAGGACUUGAAAGCCCUCAGGAAUCAUUGGAUUUUCUGAGAAAUAAUAAGACUAUUGUAGGACUUAAAACCCUCAGGAAUCAUUGGAUUCUCUGAGACAUGAUGAAACUGUUGCAAGACUUCAAAAACUUGUGGGGAUCAUUGUAUUCCCUGACACGUGAAGCAAUGGAUAGUAGAUUGGCUUUGGAUUAUCUCUUGGCUGCUGAAGAAGUGUUUCUGUGGUUGUUAUUUGCAUAUCCCCCUUCUACCAUGUUUCCCCAAUAAUAAGACACUGUCUUAUUAAUUUUUUUGGACAGAAAAACACUAGAGGGCUUAUUUUCGGGGGGGGGGGGAGGAGGAAGGCUUAUUUUAAUGAACAUUGACAGCAAUGCUCCCUCAGUGCUCCUUCUAUCCUUCAUCAUGCCCCUUUUAUCCUCCAUCAUGCCCCAUCACUCCUGCUUACAUACCGGGUUUUUAUGUUGUCCUGCCUCAGUUCUCCUCCCCCGGCACUGCUCUCAAUGGCGCCAGCAAGUAAAUCACUGGGGAAGAACAGGAUGAUGCGCUCACUGUUGCAGCUCUGAUUGGAUGCAGCUCAGAGCGCGACAUGUGGUUCACAGGUGGGGGGGAGGGGGAGAGACGGUGCAUAUAGAGGGUACCGUAAUGUAGCGUGUAGCGCAGGGGAUCACCUUCACUACAGUAGCAAUCUCAAUAGGGCUUAUUUUCGGGGGAGGGCUUAUUUCAGAGGAAUCUUACACAGUAAGUGGGGAGGGCUUAUUUUCGGGAUAGGUCUUAUCGGGGAAACACGAUAGGACAUCUGGAAAUCUUUUACAAUACCAUGUUGAUUCAUAUUGUUUGUUAUAUCACUAAUUGCAUGUAUAAUUCAUGUUUGUUACACCACAUCGAGCCUGCACUGACUAUGGGGAGAGUAAUCACUAACAGCCUAUGCGUUAUUGCUAUGUGCUUGUGUAAUACCUCCCAUGCGAAUGGGUUUGUGCAUAUCUAUUUCUAGUAACACCCUUCAGCCCAGAAACCCGCUAGCAAUAUCUGGCUUGACUCCCCUUCCCUUUGGUGUUUUUCAUCUCUCUUCCUGAGAAGUCAGGGAGGGCGUGAUCAUCUCCUUUUUAGUGCUUUCACCUCCCUUCCUGAGAAGUCAGGGAGGGCGUGAUCACCUCCUUUUUGGUGUUUUUACCUCCUUUCCUGAGAAGUCAGGGAGGGCGUGAUCACCGCCUUUUUGGGGUUCUCACCUCCCUGAGAAGUCAGGGAUGGUGUAACCACCUAUGUUCUAAAACAAAAGAAAGCGGGAGAUGUAAAGGGCUGAAACUCUGAGUUGAUGUACUGUAAUCAGACAACCGAGCACCUAAGGCUAAUUACCUAUUGGACAAUACUCUAUUAGCAUAUUCUUGGAAAAAUGACCCUUCUCAUUAUUCUGUGCUGGCUCGAUCUUUUGGUGUAUACAGAUAAUUGUAGGAGAGAUUAGGGGGUGGAGUAAAACAAGCUAGAGUCACUUUGGAGUGGACAAGGAGAAGGGAGGUUGGUUGGUGGAGAACGUGUGGCAGUUUUGCCGCUCCUCUUCACUUCUCCCCCUAAAGAUCAAGGACUUUUGCUUAUCCUGAGUCCGACUGAUUCUGAGGUCUCUGGGGAGCUAAUCCGGAUUUCACACCUGCCCCCACACUAUUAGUAUCAUCCUAAGGUUUUGUAUUUAUUUAUGUCAUCUUCUCCAGUAGAAGUUCCUUGAGGGAAGGGAAAUUUUGUUUUUCCUCUGUAUCCCCAGCACUUAGCAUAAUUACUAGCAUAUAUUAGGUGUUUAAUAAAUGCUUUUUAAAAAAAAUUCAUCUAAGACGUAGUUUCUCUGUAUUUCAAUUUCACUUAAAACAAAUAUAUUUCAUUGAGGAAAACAAAUGUCCAGGUUAUCCAUGUCUAAAAAUGUAUGUCUCAUUCUGCAUUUUGAAUCCAUCAUCUUUUUUUUUUUUUUUUUUUUAAGAAGUAAGGAAUGUUUCAUCAUUGGUUUUCUGGAAUUAUGGUUGGUCAUUGCAUUGAUCAGCUAUUCUGGAAACAAUGUUUUCAGUUGUUUUGUGAUUUUUUUCUGCCACUACAAAAUAAAAGAGAUGGUAAGUUACAGUA